rnacentral:lncRNA from 1 species
CAAUGAACAACAUUCUCACAUAGGUGUUCCUUUUGUCCAGGUGGGAAAGGGCAUCGUGGGUAAAUGAUUUGCUGAUGUCAACGCUGUGAACAUGGUGGUGGUGGGGUUAUAGUAUGGGGCAGGCAUAAGCUACGGACAACGAACGAACACAAUUGCAUUUUAUCAUUGGCAAUUUGAAUGCACAGAGAUACCGUGACGAGAUCCUGAGGCCCAUUGUCGUUCCAUUCAUCCGCCACCAUCACCUCAUGUUUCAGCAUGAUAAUACACGGCCCCGUGUCGCAAGGAUCUGGACACUUCCUGGAAGCUGAAAAUGUCCCAGUUCUUCCAUGGCCUGCAUACUCACCAGACAUGUCAUCCAUUGAGCAUGUUUGGGAUGCUCUGGAUCGAUGUGUAUGACGUCGUGUUUUUAGGUUGUAUUUAUUUACAGAAAACAAGUGAUGGACAACAAUACAGAUAAACAAUUAUUAUAAUAAAUAACAGUGUGGUUGGAAGCACAAGGGCUUGUAUAUAACAUCAACUAAAAAACAAUGUACCAUACAUAAGUACAAAAAGGUAGAAGACCCAGCAGGUUAUUGAUAUAGAUUAGUAUGGUAGUAGACCCAGCAGGUUAUUGAUAUAGAUCAGUAUGGUAGUAGACCCAGCAGGUUAUUGAUAUAGAUUAGUAUGGUAGUAGACCCAGCAGUCAGGUUAUUGAUAUAGAUUAGUAUGGUAGUAGACCCAGCAGGUUAUUGAUAUAGAUUAGUAUGGUAGUAGACCCAGCAGUCAGGUUAUUGAUAUAGAUUAGUAUGGUAGUAGACCCAGCAGGUUAUUGAUAUAGAUUAGUAUGGUAGUAGACCCAGCAGGUUAUUGAUAUAGAUUAGUAUGGUAGUAGACCCAGCAGUAACAUUAUUGAUAUAGAUUAGUAUGGUAGUAGACCCAGCAGGUUAUUGAUAUAGAUUAGUAUGGUAGUAGACCCAGCAGUCAGGUUAUUGAUAUAGAUGAGGAAUAACAAGGUCUAAUUGUCCAACCCUGUGGUACGCCAGGAUAUCUUGGCCCUGGUGGAUGCACAGCCGUUUGUGUUCCACUUCCUGCCAAUAUCAAACUACUUCCCACAGCCGUUGAAGAGUAGUGGGACAACAUUCCACAGGCCACUAUCAACAGCCUGAUCAACUCUAUGCGUCACGCUGCACGAGGUAAAUGUUGGUCGCUCCAGAGACUGACUGGCUUUCUGAUCCUUGCGCCCUACCUUUUCUUAUUAAGCUAUCUGUAUUCCCAGGCAUGUGAAAUCCAUAGAUUAGGGCCUAAUAAAUGUAUUUCUAUUGACUGAUUGAUUUCCUUAUGUGAACUGUAUCUCAGUAAAGUCUUUGAAAUUGUUGCAUGUUGCGUUUAUAUUUUUGUUUGUUUUGUAUAUCAUUUACGAUCCCCUUAUACAAACGGCUUACUCAUUUACCUAGCUCUUAUCAAUAGCUAAGAACGCUGUUAUCAGGCUUAAGUUCAAGGUCAGAAUACACGUAG